UACGGGGGGUGCGAGCGUUGUCCGGAAUCACUGGGCGUAAAGGGCGCGUAGGUGGUCGGAUAAGGGUGUGGUGAAAGCCCGGGGCUCAACCCCGGGUCGGCCGUGCCGACUGUUAGACUAGAGUACUGUAGGGGCAGGCGGAAUUCCGGGUGUAGCGGUGGAAUGCGUAGAGAUCCGGAGGAAGACCGGUGGCGAAGGCGGCCUGCUGGGCAGUUACUGACACUGAGGCGCGACAGCGUGGGGAGCAAACAGG
rnacentral:rRNA from 1 species